AAUUUUGGACAAUGGGGGAAACCCUGAUCCAGCCAUCCCGCGUGUAUGAUGAAGGCCUUCGGGUUGUAAAGUACUUUUGGCAGAGAAGAAAAGGUAUCUCCUAAUACGAGAUACUGCUGACGGUAUCUGCAGAAUAAGCACCGGCUAACUACGUGCCAGCAGCCGCGGUAAUACGUAGGGUGCAAGCGUUAAUCGGAAUUACUGGGCGUAAAGCUUGUGUAGGCGUUUCGGAAAGAAGGAUGGGAAAUCCAAGGCCUCAACCUUGGAACGGCAUUUUAAACUGCCGGGCUAGAGUAUGUCAGAGGGGGGUAGAAUUCCACGUUUAGAAGUGAAAUGCGUGGAUAUUGGGAGGAAUACCGAUGGGGAAGGCAGCCCCCUGGGUUAAUCUUGCGCCCCGGACCCGAAGCGUGGGGAGCAAACA
rnacentral:rRNA from 1 species